ACGGCUAACUCUGUGCCAGCAGCCGCGGUAAUACAGAGGUGGCGAGCGUUGUUCGGAUUUACUGGGCGUAAAGGGUGCGUAGGUGGUUAGGUAAGUCGGAUGUGAAAGCCCAAGGCUCAACUUUGGAACUGCAUCCGAUACUGCUUGACUAGAGUGCAGGAGGGGAGAGCGGAAUUCUUGGUGUAGCGGUGAAAUGCGUUGAUAUCAAGAAGAACACCGGUGGCGAAGGCGGCUCUCUGGAAUGUUACUGACACUGAGGCACGAAAGCUGGGGGAGCAAACAGGAUUAGAUACCCUGGUAGUCCCAGCCGUAAACGGUGCACACUUGGUGUGGGGAGAUUUAACCCUCUCCGUGCCGGAGCUAACGCGUUAAGUGUGCCGCCUGGGGAGUACGGCCGCAAGGCUAAAACUCAAAGAAAUUGACGGGGGCCCGCACAAGCGGAGGAGCAUGUGGCUUAAUUCGAUGCAACGCGAAGAACCUUACCAGGGCUUGACAUGUAGCUGCACGCCCCGUGAAAGCGGGGAAGCCUUCGAGGGUGCUACACAGGUGCUGCAUGGCUGUCGUCAGUUCGUGCCGUGAGGUGUUGGGUUAAGUCCCGCAACGAACGCAACCCCUGUGGUUAGUUGCCACCGCCGGUGAUAAGCCGGCGAGCACUCUAGCCAGACUGCCCGUACAAGCGGGAGGAAGGUGGGGAUGACGUCAAGUCAGUAUGGCCCUUACGCCCUGGGCUGCACACGUGCUACAAUGGCCGGUACAGAGGGAUGCAAU
rnacentral:rRNA from 1 species